UCAACUGUGUGGACAUUGCUACAGUAAAUGCUUUCAUUCUCCACAAGCAGAUGGCCAAAGCAAAAGGUCAAACCCUUCCCAGUUGGCCUUCCUAGAGUGGCUGGUGUUGGAAAUGGCUGAAUUGGGGGCCCAAAGCAACCUCACAACCAUCACAAGACCCCCCCACUCAAGACAGGGACUGCUUCAAAGACUAUCACGACAUGCACAAGCUACGGUGAAAGUGAAAUAUAAUCAUCUACACCUGGGGUGUAAAACGAACACGAAUGCCAUUUGUAAAUAGUUCAGUUUAUUUCUAUUUUUGCGAAGGACACGUGUGUAACCAAGUUUGUGUUUGAUAAGACAUUU